rnacentral:rRNA from 1 species
UAAAGGUAUUCCGGUAGACGAUGGGGAUGCGUUCCAUUAGAUAGUAGGCGGGGUAACGGCCCACCUAGUCUUCGAUGGAUAGGGGUUCUGAGAGGAAGGUCCCCCACAUUGGAACUGAGACACGGUCCAAACUCCUACGGGAGGCAGCAGUGAGGAAUAUUGGUCAAUGGGCGAGAGCCUGAACCAGCCAAGUAGCGUGAAGGAUGACUGCCCUAUGGGUUGUAAACUUCUUUUAUAAAGGAAUAAAGUCGGGUAUGGAUACCCGUUUGCAUGUACUUUAUGAAUAAGGAUCGGCUAACUCCGUGCCAGCAGCCGCGGUAAUACGGAGGAUCCGAGCGUUAUCCGGAUUUAUUGGGUUUAAAGGGAGCGUAGAUGGAUGUUUAAGUCAGUUGUGAAAGUUUGCGGCUCAACCGUAAAAUUGCAGUUGAUACUGGAUAUCUUGAGUGCAGUUGAGGCAGGCGGAAUUCGUGGUGUAGCGGUGAAAUGCUUAGAUAUCACGAAGAACUCCGAUCGCGAAGGCAGCCUGCUAAGCUGCAACUGACAUUGAGGCUCGAAAGUGUGGGUAUCAAACAGGAUUAGAUACCCUGGUAGUCCACACGGUAAACGAUGAAUACUCGCUGUUUGCGAUAUACUGCAA